rnacentral:lncRNA from 1 species
ACGUUUUCCCAAAAGAACCCUUAAUUCGCAAAACUCUUAAACUUUUUCCAGUCGAACUCGGAAAAUGUUUGUUUACUAAAUAUCACGGUAAACACUCCCAUUCCUUGUUCCAAAUGACAAAAUUAAGGUAGGAUGCUAGUACGGUACAUCGAAUGAAACCAAGUCAUUAGGAUCUGAUCCACCGGUCAUAUAGAUGCCGCAAAAAGGCAGGCAGUUGAACGUUUAUGUUUACAUUGUUCAUUGAUCUAAAACUGUCAAGAUUGUUGGAAAAUUGGGGAUGAACAACGCGAACACCGAACUGAACAGUAACCUUGGUGGAAUAAAAGGAGCAACAUCACGAACAGUACACCUUCACAAACCAUAACUGUCAUAAAACAAGUUGAGUCGCGAAAAUCAAUUCGCUGUCCUUGAGAGUUUUAUUCGGGUAUUAUCCCAAACACUCCCCCAGAAUUAAACAGCUUCUUCCGAUAAAUCGGGUCACAGAACUAGCGAGAUUAAUUUCUCAUUAUGCCCAAGAAGUAGAGGAAGUAGAGGGGAGAGAACGGUGAGGAAAUGUUGCUGAUAUGUG